rnacentral:rRNA from 1 species
AACAAACGCUGGCGGCGUGCAUAACACAUGCAAGUCUAACGGGAAAGUCGGCUUCGGCUGGCAAGUACCGUGGCGAACGGGUGAGUAACACGUGGGUAAUCUAACCUCGAGUUCGGGAUAACCCUGCGAAAGCGGGGCUAAUACCGGAUAAGACCACGCUUGGUUCGCCAAGUGCGGUAAAAGGCGGCCUCUUCUUGAAAGCUGUCACCUGGGGAUGAGCCCGCGGCCUAUUAGCUAGUUGGUGGGGUAAUGGCCUACCAAGGCGACGAUGGGUAGCCGGCCUGAGAGGGUGUCCGGCCACACUGGCACUGAGAUACUGGCCAGACUCCUACGGGAGGCAGCAGUGGGGAAUUUUGCGCAAUGGGGGAAACCCUGACGCAGCAACGCCGCGUGAGUGAUGAAGGCCUUCGGGUCGUAAAGCUCUUUUAGUGGGGAAGAAUCCCACCCGGGCUAAUACCUCGGGUGUCUGACGGUACCCACAGAAAAAGUUCCGGCUAACUACGUGCCAGCAGCCGCAGUAACAC